rnacentral:rRNA from 1 species
UACAGGUAGCACGAGUGGUGUCCACGAAUAUUGAGUCUAAAGCGCCCGUAGCCGGUUUGGAAAAUUUCCUGUCAAAUCUCUAAGCUUAACUUAGAGGCGAGCAGGGAACACUACCAGACUAGGGAGUGGAGGAGGUACGAGGUACUGCAGGGGGAACGGUAAAAUGUUGUAAUCCUUGUAGGACCACCAGUGGCGAAAGCGUCGUACCAAGACACGUCCGACGGUGAGGGGCGAAGGCUAGGGGAGCAAACCG